rnacentral:tRNA from 3 species
AGGUCAGUAGCUCAACUGGUAGAGCAUCGGUCUCCAAAACCGACGGUUGCGGGUUCAAGUCCUGCCUGGCCUGCCA